rnacentral:rRNA from 1 species
GUGCCAGCAGCCGCGGUAAUACGGAGGGUGCGAGCGUUAAUCGGAAUAACUGGGCGUAAAGGGCAUGCAGGCGGGUCAUUAAGUUAGGUGUGAAAUCCCCGGGCUCAACCUGGGAACUGCACUUAAAACUGGUGGUCUGGAGUAUUGUAGAGGAAGGUAGAAUUCCACGUGUAGCGGUGAAAUGCGUAGAGAUGUGGAGGAAUACCGGUGGCGAAAGCGGCCUCCUAGACGAAUACUGACGCUGAGGUGCGAAAGCGUGGGGAGCAAACAGGAUUAGAAAACCCCGGUAGUCC